rnacentral:piRNA from 1 species
UUGAAUGGAGAAUGAGGCAGCAGUGGUGU